rnacentral:tRNA from 1 species
GCUGACGUAGCUCAGUUAUUAGAGCGACUGAUUCGUAAUCAGUAGGUCACGGGUUCGACCCCCGUCAUUGGCUCCA